rnacentral:rRNA from 1 species
AGAGUUUGAUCCUGGCUCAGGACGAACGCUGGCGGCGUGCCUAACACAUGCAAGUCGAGCGGGGAACGGACGGUAGCUUGCUACUGUUUGUUUCUAGCGGCGGACGGGUGAGUAACGCGUGAGCAACCUGCCUUUAUCAGGGGGAUAACGCAUCGAAAGAUGUGCUAAUACCGCGUAAGACCACAGCUUCACAUGGAGCGGGGGUCAAAGGAGCAAUCCGGAUAAAGAUGGGCUCGCGUCCGAUUAGCUAGUUGGUGAGAUAACAGCCCACCAAGGCGACGAUCGGUAGCCGACCUGAGAGGGUGAUCGGCCACAUUGGAACUGAGACACGGUCCAGACUCCUACGGGAGGCAGCAGUGGGGAAUAUUGGGCAAUGGGCGAAAGCCUGACCCAGCAACGCCGCGUGAGGGAAGAAGGUCUUCGGAUUGUAAACCUCUUUCAGCAGGGAAGAAGAAAGUGACGGUACCUGCAGAAGAAGUCACGGCUAACUACGUGCCAGCAGCCGCGGUAAUACGUAGGUGGCGAGCGUUAUCCGGAAUUACUGGGUGUAAAGGGUGUGUAGGCGGGGUGUCAAGUCAGAUGUGAAAACUGUGGGCUCAACCCACAAACUGCAUUUGAAACUGAUACUCUUGAGAGUGGGAGAGGUAAACGGAAUUCCUGGUGUAGUAGUGAAAUGCGUAGAUAUCAGGAGGAACACCGGUGGCGAAGGCGGUUUACUGGACCACAACUGACGCUGAGACACGAAAGCGUGGGGAGCAAACAGGAUUAGAUACACUGGUAGUCCACGCUGUAAACGAU